rnacentral:rRNA from 1 species
GAUGAACGCUGGCUACAGGCUUAACACAUGCAAGUCGAGGGGAAACGACGGGGAAGCUUGCUUCCCCGGGCGUCGACCGGCGCACGGGUGAGUAACGCGUAUCCAACCUGCCUCUGACUGAGGGAUAACCCGUCGAAAGUCGGCCUAAUACCCCAUGGUAUCGUCUGCGGGCAUCCAACGACGAUUAAAGAUUUCAUCGGUCAGGGAUGGGGAUGCGUCUGAUUAGCUUGUUGGCGGGGUAACGGCCCACCAAGGCUACGAUCAGUAGGGGUUCUGAGAGGAAGGUCCCCCACAUUGGAACUGAGACACGGGCCAAACUCCUACGGGAGGCAGCAGUGAGGAAUAUUGGUCAAUGGGCGAGAGCCUGAACCAGCCAAGUAGCGUGCAGGAAGACGGCCCUAUGGGUUGUAAACUGCUUUUAUGCGGGGAUAAAGUGAGGGACGUGUCCCUCAUUGCAGGUACCGCAUGAAUAAGAACCGGCUAAUUCCGUG